CUUCAGCUGUCCAUAAAUCAAAACGCGCAUAGCGCGUUUUGUUAUAUUACCGUUGCAUGAGUUGAAAGACCGAAAUACCCACACGCCCCUCAUCUCUGAUCUCUGCUCUCCAUUUCGCAUUUGACGCCUCCAUCUUCUUCUCUCUGCGUCGUUCACUGUUCGUACCAAAAACACUGAUCUGCUACCAAAAACCAGGUACCAACACUGAUCUGAUUUUUUUUUUUUUUUUACCGAGUGUGGGUUCCUUUACUUGUUUUGUUAUUUGUUUUUGCUGAUUGGAAUAUAUAAUGAAGUGUUAGUUUGAUGAAUAUAUAAUGGGUAUUGUUUUCGGAUCUUGCUGAUUGGAAUAUAUACAUGUUCUCAUGAAGUGUUUUUGUUUAUUUGUUUUGUUAUAACAAAAUUUCGGAUCUUGCUAUGAAUGUGUAUUAACUUGGAGAUAUUGUUAUGCUUCACAGACUGGUUGUAACAUUUUGUACUCUUCGAAGAACUGAUGGGUUGUGCAUUUUUAAAUAUGCUCUAAGUAAGGUUGCUGGUUAUUGAUAUUUUGUCA